GAUGAACGCUGGCGGCGUGCCGAAUACAUGCAAGUCGAGCGAAUGGAUUAAGAGCUUGCUCUUAUGAAGUUAGCGGCGGACGGGUGAGUAACACGUGGGUAACCUGCCCAUAAGACUGGGAUAACUCCGGGAAACCGGGGCUAAUACCGGAUAACAUUUUGAACCGCAUGGUUCGAAAUUGAAAGGCGGCUUCGGCUGUCACUUAUGGAUGGACCCGCGUCGCAUUAGCUAGUUGGUGAGGUAACGGCUCACCAAGGCAACGAUGCGUAGCCGGCCUGAGAGGGUGAUCGGCCACACUGGGACUGAGACACGGCCCAGACUCCUACGGGAGGAAGCAGUAGGGAAUCUCCCGCAAUGGACGAAAGUCUGACGGAGCAACGCCGCGUGAGUGAUGAAGGCUUUCGGGUCGUAAAACUCUGUUGUUAGGGAAGAACAAGUGCUAGUUGAAUAAGCUGGCACCUUGACGGUACCUAACCAGAAAGCCACGGCUAACUACGUGCCAGCCGCCGCCGUAA
rnacentral:rRNA from 1 species